rnacentral:misc_RNA from 1 species
CGCUGCGCUCUGCUCCCGCACUGAAACAUAUAAACCCGACAGGAGAGAAAGAUAAAUAGAUUCGAAAGAGUGAGACUUUGAAAGAAAAUAAAUAAAGACACAUCCUACAAAAACAAAACAAAAAAACAAAAGGGUGUGAGAUCUAAUCAUGACAUAAACACGAUCAUAGAGGAAUAUAUAUAUAUAAAAAAAAAGAAAAUCGGAAACACCGUUUGACUCCUCGAAGCCCUUUAUAGUGUCUGUGAUUUGCGAGAGAAAGAAAACAAGAGGAAUUUUUUGCCAAUGAUCCCAAGCUUGCAAGUGCUCGCUGAGCUGAGCUACCUUAGUGAUGGUAGCAAAUGAAGAUGCAUAUAUGACAGAUAUGCCAAAGACGUCCACGCUGGAGUACAAAGCAGGUCUUCAUUCUCCGAGCCUCCACAGCCCGGUAAAGGGAGACCCACAGAAAGCAAUGGAAGGGUAAGUGUUUUGAUUCUGAUUU